GAAGAAACAAUGAAUUCACAUAUUACAAAGAGUAAUCAUGUUUUAUUCGAUACUUUUUGCAAUAUGUGAAUUUUUUCUUUUGAAGAAAUAUGAUAUUAUUUAAUACAAUUAAUGGAGGUCAUUUAAAUGACACAACAAGGUACAGUAAAAUGGUUUAACGCAGAAAAAGGUUUCGGUUUCAUCGAAGUUGAAGGCGGAAACGACGUAUUCGCUCACUUCUCAGCUAUCCAAGGUGACGGCUUCAAAUCACUUGACGAAGGUCAAAAAGUUGAAUUUUCAGUAGAAGACGGCCAACGUGGACCACAAGCUACAAACAUCGUAAAACUUUAAUUUUAAUGAUGUAAACAUAAAAGAGGUAUCCUUUCAUUAGGAUGCCUCUUUUU
rnacentral:sRNA from 1 species